UCCAACCAAACUGAGAGCUUCUUAGCUUU
rnacentral:sRNA from 1 species